GCAGCGUAUGCGAGCGGCGGAGGAGGUUGAGGGUUCUCGGAGAACGGCAUUGCGAGAGGGAAAACAGAGGUGGUUUGUGGAUUUGAGAGAGAGGGAGUAUGGGUUUGGAUUGAUCUUGGUGAGAAGGAGACGACGAUUGAGAGCGCAAGUAUUGAAGAUUCUUGCUGUUGCUUCCAUGGCGAAACUCCGUCGACAAUCUCACGGUUUCAUCUGAAAGUCGCUAAAAAGAACAUAUUUAGGAAAUCAAACACUCUGUUUUGUGCAGAGGUUUUGGUUUUGUCUGGUCUAGUCUAAGAGGAUCAGAUCCGCU
rnacentral:lncRNA from 1 species